CCGGGAAGGUUCGGAUCGCUGUGACCUGGGCGGUUCGCUGCCUGCGACAUGGCGAGAAGUCCACUGAACCUUAUCAUUUAGAGGAAGGAGAAGUCGUAACAAGGUUUCCGUAGGUGAACCUGCGGAAGGAUCAUUGU
rnacentral:rRNA from 1 species